AGUCUUAUAGUCAAUAUAAAUAUGAUAUAAAAUUGCAAAUUUUAAGUAAUAAGAAUAAUAUUAAGGCUU
rnacentral:tRNA from 1 species